GCAAGGACACGCCGCCGUCUCCCAGGCAACGCGGCCGCUUGCAGGGCUGCAGGCAGUUAUUUUAAAAGGGCGGUGUGGAGUCACGUGACCGUGCAUCAGGUCACUGUGGCCGUCUCCGGCAGCAGAGUGCGGGCCAGGCCGGGCCGGGCCACUGCAGAGGCAGAGAGAGGUCUCUGGCCACUGGAAGCAGCAGAAUAAAGGCCGGGCCAGAGUGAGGUCUCCCUGGCCACUGGAGGAGGCGGCAGAGUGGGUGAGGCCAGGCUUGCGGCCGCGUUACUUCAGGCAAACUUAUCCCACUACCACCCUUACUACUCUUCUUAAUGAUGUUCCAAACAGUUGAUUUUGUGGCACAACUUUGGUCCUCGUGUUGAUAAAUAGCAAUAACAUUUUCCAAAGGUGAUGGAAAGACUGGAGGAAAGACUAGAGUUCUCUUAUACCUGCAUUAAGGAGUCAUUUAAACACACCUGAGCAAUUACAAAUGCCUGUGUCCCAAACAUUAUGGUGCCCUGAAAUUGGGGGGGGGGGGGGGGGGGGGGGGGGACUAUGUAUAAACACAGCUGUAAUUUCUACAUGCUGAAACCAAAAUGUAUAAAAAUAGUCUUUAAUAAAAUCUGACAAUGUGCACUUUAACCACAUUUGAUUUUUUUUUCUAUUACAAAACUCAAAUUGUGAAGUACAGAGGCAAAUAAAUAAAUGAUGGGUCUUUGUCCCAAACAUUAUGAAGUGCACUGUAAGUAUGUCAGAAUAUGUAUAGGACAUCCCUUCAGGAGGAAAAGGUUGCAAAUUCCACCAAAAGGUAUAUUAACAGCAUUGGACGUAUAACGGAGUAUGGAGACAUUUUCCUAAAUAGCCUGUAAUUUACCUUUGAAAUGGCUAGAGUACAGUGACAUUGAUUUUGAUUCUGCAGUUAAAAUGACACCUCUCUAAAUUUAUUUUAAUUUAUUUUCCGACGCUCCUUAAAACAUAUCUCUUUAAGCAAAUUGAUUAGCUAUCAUGUGCAAAAGGCAUUCUCCAUAGAAAUUGUAUUGAGUGCUGACAUAGUAAAUAAAGGAAAUGUUUUAUUUGUAUUUGAACCUUGUUAUGAAGCAUGCUGUUAACUUUCCAAAUGUUGAUAUUGCCAAUUUGCAGGUCUUAAUUGAAUUUCUUCAUGGCUCUAGGCUAUCCUGUGAAACUAUUGUACUAGGUCCUAGGUUCAUUUACAGGACUAUGAUAACAUACAACAAAAUUCUCAGGAUCAAUAGAGGUUAUUCCUCACAUCCCUGCAACAUUUCAGGAAAAAAGAUACAACUCUCCAAGGCCCUACAUGCCAAACACAAUGUGCUGGCAAAGGAUGAUCUAAUAUAAGUCUCUGUAAAGACUUAGAAUUUCUUAACAUUUCAUGUUGUUACAGCAUCAUUGGAAAAAGAUCAAUCACCACUUGUAGCCAUCCAUAAUCACUUCUAGGGUGGUUAUCUCUGGAUUGCAUCCAGUACCUCGUGCUAGUGAGGACAGGAACAGAGAGAUAGGGGAUCUGAAUGUGUGGCUGAGGGGCUGGUGCAGGGAGCAAGGAUUUAGAUUUAUAGACCACUGGGAUCUCUUAUGGUGUAGGGGUGACCUGUACAAAAGGGACGGGUUACACCUUAACUGGAGGGGGACUAACGUUCUGGCAGACAGGUUUGCUAGGGCUACACGUGUGGGUUUAAACUAAAUAGUGGGGGGGGGGAGGGAUUGCAAAAUUGGGAGUAUAAAGAUGGAGUUGAAGGGGAAGUGAGUACAGGAAAAAUUACAAAAGAUUCUCGAAUUAAUGGGAAGGAAAGUUCGAGAAGGGAUAAGAGAGUAAGGUCAGGGCCAAUUGUGAGCGGUGCGAGGGGGGAGGUGAAUACGGAGGUCAAAGUGUUGUAUAUUAAUGCGCGAAGUAUUAAAAAUAAAGUGGACGAGCUUGAGGCUCAGUUAGAAAUUGGCAAGUAUGAUGUUGUGGGACUGGGAACUGAAUAUUAGAUAGAUAGCCUUUAUUGUCAUUCAGACCGAAGUCUGAACGAAAUUGCAGCAGUCAUACAUAUAAUACAAUAAAAACAACAAUAAACACAUAUUAACAUCCACCACAGUGAGUCCACCCAGCAUCUCCUCACUGUGAUGGAGGCAAAAGUCUUAGGUCUGCAGUCUCUUCCCUCCUCUCCUCCCUCUGCGCUGAGGCGAUACCCCCCGGGCGAUGUGAUAAUCAGUCCUGCGGCUCAAAAACCGCGGCCCGGGGUGGUCGAAGCUGCCGCCCACCAGUCCUGCAGACGCAGCCGCUGGCCCGCGGCCGAACCCCGGACUCAGGCCACCACCGCCAGAACACCGUCCCAGCCACCCUCACGUGAGUACCGUACCGUCUUCAGCCUCGGGCUGGGCCGCCCCGACAUGGGCGCCGAACCUCCCCCGGGCCGGGCCGCCCCGACAUGGGCGUCGCUUCUUCCCCAGGCCGGGCCGCCCCGACUUGGGCGUCGCUUCUACCUCUGGCCGGGCUGCCCCGACUUGGGCGUCGCUUCUCCCUCUGGCCGGGCUGCCCCGACUUGGGCGUCGCUUCUCCCUCGGGCCGGGUAGCCCCGACAUGGGCGCCGAACCUCCCUCGGGCUGCGAGCGCAGCACCUCCCCGAGUUCGGCCGCUCCGACGGGAGCCUCGUUCCACCCUCGGGCUGGCCGCCCUCAGGGGAGCGUCCCAACCUCUCACGGGAACACUGUUCCAGCCCUGAGCCGGACCACCCUCACGGGAGCGAGCUCAGGGCGAGUCCUGACGGGCUCUGCCUCCGGAGCCUCGAGGUCGUCAGCUCCAUUAGGCCUCAGUGCAGAUGGAGGCAGAGAAGGGGAAUACGACA